CCUGCGGAAGGAUCAUUACCGAACUGUCGACACGAGCUGUUGCUGGCCCUCGAAAGGGGGCACGUGCACGCUCUGUUUACAAUCCACUCACACCUGUGCACCCUCUGUAGUUCUAUGGCCUUGGGGACCCCGUCCCCUUGCUGUGGUCCUACGUCUUUACACACACACCAUAACAAAGUCUCAUGGAAUGUAUGCCGCGUUUAACGCAAUACAAUACAACUUUCAGCAACGGAUCUCUUGGCUCUCGCAUCGAUGAAGAACGCAGCGAAAUGCGAUAAGUAAUGUGAAUUGCAGAAUUCAGUGAAUCAUCGAAUCUUUGAACGCACCUUGCGCCCUUUGGCUAUUCCGAAGGGCAUGCCUGUUUGAGUAUCAUGAACACCUCAACUCUCGUGGUCCGCCACGAUGAGCUUGGACUUUGGGGGUCUUGCCGGCCUAGCGUCGGCUCCUCUCAAAUGGAUCAGCUUGCCAGUGUUUGGUGGCGUCACAGGUGUGAUAACUAUCUACGCUUGUGGUUUCUGCCAUGCAACCUUCAGCAAUGGGGGUUCGCUGGAGCUCACAGAUGUCUCUCCUUGGGGAGGACAGCUUUUUGAACGUUUGAUCUCAAAUCAGGUAGGACUACCCGCUGAACUUAAGCAUAUCAAUA
rnacentral:rRNA from 1 species